CGGGGAGUAGCUGCAACGGUAGAGCGGAACCUUUGGGGGGUUCAGGUGUGGGUUCGACUCCCACCUCCCCGACCA
rnacentral:tRNA from 1 species